UACGUAAGAUGCAAGCGUUAAUCGGAAUUACUGGGCGUAAAGCGUGCGCAGGCGGCUUUGCAAGACAGAUGUGAAAUCCCCGGGCUUAACCUGGGAACUGCAUUUGUGACUGCAUGGCUGGAGUGCGGCAGAGGGGGAUGGAAUUCCGCGUGUAGCAGUGAAAUGCGUAGAUAUGCGGAGGAACACCGAUGGCGAAGGCAAUCCCCUGGGCCUGCACUGACGCUCAUGCACGAAAGCGUGGGGAGCAAACAGG
rnacentral:rRNA from 1 species